CUCGCUUCCGCUCCAGUCCUUUACCCACAAGGCACCUGGAUGAGGGGAGAGGAAGGAAGGAUGCGCUUGGAGUGAUGUAAAUACGCUAAAGAAAAUGAGGGUCAUCCUCCCCAGGCCGCCCACCUCUUCGGGGACGGACAGGAACGCUGAUAAAACAAUCACCAUAAAGAGGUUCCAGACUCCGCAGCUAAAAAGGUGCUCUAGCCAUGGUCGUCAUGGGAACAAAACUGUGCUCGGCAUUGGCUCAGGAGUUUAUAAAGCAAGAUAUGUGCCCUGUGAAUGACUGGCGACCGGUUCAGGGUGUUCACCUGGGGGCUCAUCUGUCACCAUAGCGACCUGCGUCGAUUUAUUUGAAGACACAGUAGCCAACAAAGGCUUAAUGGAUUAUCAGUUGGCGGCACGGUGGAUCAGCUGGAAAGCAUUGGCCUCACAGUUCUGAGGUACCGGGUUCAAUCGCGGACCAACCUGUGUGGAGUUUGCAUGUUCUCCCCAUGCCUGUGUGGGUUUCCUCUGGUUUCUUCCCACAUCCCCAAAAACAUGGCACAUUAAUUGGACACUCUAAAUUGCUACUAGGUGGAAUUAUGAGUGUGGGUGUUUGUCUCAAAGUGCCCUGCGACUGGCUGGCAACCAGUUCUGGGUGUACCUCG